GACGAACGCUGGCGGCGUGCUUAACACAUGCAAGUCGAACGGAAAGGCCCUGCUUUUGUGGGGUGCUCGAGUGGCGAACGGGUGAGCAACACGUGAGUAACCUGCCCUUGACUUUGGGAUAACUUCAGGAAACUGGGGCUAAUACCGGAUAGGAGCUCCUGCUGCAUGGUGGGGGUUGGAAAGUUUCGGCGGUUGGGGAUGGACUCGCGGCUUAUCAGCUUGUUGGUGGGGUAGUGGCUUACCAAGGCUUUGACGGGUAGCCGGCCUGAGAGGGUGACCGGCCACAUUGGGACUGAGAUACGGCCCAGACUCCUACGGGAGGCAGCAGGGGGGAAUAUUGCACAAUGGGCGGAAGCCUGAUGCAGCAACGCCGCGUGCGGGAUGACGGCCUUCGGGUUGUAAACCGCUUUCGCCUGUGACGAAGCGUGAGUGACGGUAAUGGGUAAAGAAGCACCGGCUAACUACGUG
rnacentral:rRNA from 1 species